rnacentral:tRNA from 1 species
GCGAGCGUGGCGGAAUUGGCAGACGCACUGGAUUUAGGUUCCAGCGGGGUAACCCGUGGGGGUUCGACUCCCCCCGCUCGUACCA